rnacentral:rRNA from 1 species
UACGAAGGGGGCUAGCGUUGCUCGGAAUUACUGGGCGGAAAGGGCGCGUAGGCGGACAGUUUAGUCAGAGGUGAAAGCCCAGGGCUCAACCUUGGAAUAGCCUUUGAUACUGGCUGUCUUGAGUUCGGGAGAGGUGAGUGGAAUGCCGAGUGUAGAGGUGAAAUUCGUAGAUAUUCGGCGGAACACCAGUGGCGAAGGCGACUCACUGGCCCGAUACUGACGCUGAGGCGCGAAAGCGUGGGGAGCAAACAGG